rnacentral:rRNA from 1 species
CCUACGGGGGCUGCAGUGGGGAAUCUUGGACAAUGGGGGCAACCCUGAUCCAGCCAUGCCGCGUGAUCGAUGAAGGCCUUAGGGUUGUAAAGAUCUUUCAGCUGGGAAGAUAAUGACGGUACCAGCAGAAGAAGCCCCGGCUAACUCCGUGCCAGCAGCCGCGGUAAUACGGAGGGGGCUAGCGUUGUUCGGAAUUACUGGGCGUAAAGCGCACGUAGGCGGAUAGUUAAGUUAGAGGUGAAAGCCCAGGGCUCAACCCUGGAACUGCCUUGAAUACUGGCUGUCUAGAGAUCGAGAGAGGUGAGUGGAAUUCCGAGUGUAGAGGUGAAAUUCGUAGAUAUUCGGAGGAACACCAGUGGCGAAGGCGGCUCACUGGCUCGAUACUGACGCUGAGGUGCGAAAGCGUGGGGAGCAAACA